rnacentral:rRNA from 1 species
GUGUCAGCCGCCGCGGUAAGACGGAGGGGGCUAGCGUUGUUCGGAAUUACUGGGCGUAAAGGGCAUGUAGGCGGUUUUGUAAGUUAGACGUGAAAGCCCUGAGCUUAACUUAGGAAUUGCGUAUAAGACUGCAAGACUAGAGUACGGGAGAGGAUAAGGGAAUUUCCAGUGUAGAGGUGAAAUUCGUAGAUAUUGGAAGGAACACCAGUUGCGAAGGCGCUUAUCUGGCCCGUUACAGACGCUAAGAUGCGAAAGCGUGGGGAGCAAACAGGAUUAGAUACCCUGGUAGUCCACGCCGUAAACGAUGAGUGCUAGAUGUUGGAUAUUUGAUUCAGUGUCGUAGCUAACGCAUUAAGCACUCCGCCUGGGGAGUACGGUCGCAAGAUUAAA